GACGAAGGGAGCAAGCGUUGCUCGGAAUAAUUGGGCGUAAAGGGUGCGUAGGCGGUUUUUUAAGUGAGAUGUUAAAGAUCUGGACUCAAUCUAGAAAAUGCAUUUCAUACUGAAAAACUUGAGUGUGGGAGAGGAAACAGGAAUUCCUCAUGUAGAGGUGAAAUUCGUAGAUAUGAGGAGGAACACCAAAGGCGAAGGCAAGUUUCUGGAACACAACUGACGCUCAGGCACGAAAGCGUGGGGAGCAAACAGG
rnacentral:rRNA from 1 species